rnacentral:rRNA from 1 species
AUUGAACGCUGGCGGCAUGCUUUACACAUGCAGGUCGAACGGCAGCGCGGGCUUCGGCCUGGCGGCGAGUGGCGAACGGGUGAGUAAUGCAUCGGAACGUGCCCAGUAGUGGGGGAUAGCCCGGCGAAAGCCGGAUUAAUACCGCAUACGACCUGAGGGUGAAAGCGGGGGACCGAAAGGCCUCGCGCUAUUGGAGCGGCCGAUGUCGGAUUAGCUAGUUGGUGGGGUAAAGGCUUACCAAGGCGACGAUCCGUAGCUGGUCUGAGAGGACGACCAGCCACACUGGGACUGAGACACGGCCCAGACUCCUACGGGAGGCAGCAGUGGGGAAUUUUGGACAAUGGGGGCAACCCUGAUCCAGCCAUGCCGCGUGAGGGAAGAAGGCCUUCGGGUUGUAAACCGCUUUUGUUCGGGAAGAAAUCCUCUGGGCUAAUACCCCGGGGGGAUGACGGUACCGGAAGAAUAAGCACCGGCUAACUACGUG